ACUUGUGUGGAGGCAAGUAAGGAGAGGUUAAGAGCAACUCUAAGGGUCUUCGUGUAUAGAAGCAAAGUAAGUUGUGUUCAAGAGUGUGUAUAGCUCUUGGGGUAGAGUAAUCUUCUAGGUUGAGAGAGGGUGUACAAGGGGUAUCCGGUUGGAUACAAGAGCUCAGGUUGGGUAUAAACUUGAGUGCUCGAGUUGUGCAUAAAUUUGAGCAGUGUAAUCUUGUACUUGUGUAAAUCUCUUAUUAGUGAAGGUGAAACUCUCCGAGGACGUAGGUAAGGAUAUUGGCCGAACCUCAUUAAAUCUUGUUGUCUUCUUGGCUUGCUUAUUUCUUCUUUCUAUCUUUCCUAAUAGUACUUGCGUGACGGGGGAUUAAUUUCCUAACAAACUCCACUACGCAAAAUUUACUGUAAGAUCUCAUUUUUUUCACAGAUAAUUUAAGACAUGUAGAUGUUUUGUGGGGAAGACUAUCCAAGAGUUAAACAUUUUUUUUUUUCAUAAACUAACGAGGAUUAGGCGAUAUUAGCUCCUCUGCAAUGGUCUGAAAGGGAUGCCUAAGCACCCACACAACCCCGAAGGGGACCACUACAACCGGGGGCAAUGUGUUAAACAUGUGGCAAUGUGUUAUUGAUGAUUACAUGACCAGGUCAAGGUUGUUGCUCUUUCAAGUUUUGAAACAUUUGUCUAUUCUGAGUGUUGCUCAUUUAAGGUCGAGAACCCAUGCUGCACGUUCAAUUCAAGCCACCCCAUUAGGCAUUUCAUUUUCGAGUGAAACAUAUACGUUUUUUGUUCGAUCAAAAUAGGAAAGGUCUUCUGCUUCUUGACUAAUCGGCAAAUGAAUUUUUCCAUAACCACAUUCGCCCCAUUUGUCGGACCAGGAAUUCUUGAAAUGAAGCGCUAUGCAAAUGAAGACCACCAACUACUGGACCUUUGCUGACAACCAUAACCCCAAUACAAGAAUUGCUGCACCUCCAUUGCCAUUGCAGAAGCUAUGCAGGGACUGACCCUACUCCACAAAGAGAGGAAGGUAAAAUUCUAUGUAAAUCAUUUUGUAGGAGAAUCAAAGGAGAAAGGAUACAAAUUCACAAUUAUGGAGGAUGCACUCAACUUUGUUAAGAAGCACGGCUUGAUAAAAGAAGAAGAUUAUCUCAAUGAACAAAGAAAGCUGAAAGAUUGAUCCGAAGAUAUACGGAAAUGUGGGGGAAGAAACACAUACUAAUGGCAGUCAACAAAGGUCCAGCAGUUGGUGGUAUUGAUGUGCACAUCACUAUUGUCAAAUACAGAGGAUGAAUUAUUACACAGGCUGGCAUAAAGACAGCAUAUAUGAAUGAAAGACCCAGGACACUAUAUUGCCGUACUUGCAAUACAGAAACGAGGACACCUUUUUGGUGUGCUGACUGUGGAUACAAUGGGCAAAAGGGUCAUGCAAUUGCAUUGACCGGUUACGACAUCACAAAUAAGAGACUGUCUUACCUUCGUUUCAAGAACUGUUGGUCCAACAAAUGGGGCGAAUGUGGUUAUGGAAAAAUCCAUUUGCCGAUCAGUCAAGAAGCAGAAGACCUUUCCUAUUUUGAUCAUACAAGAAACAUAUAUGUUUUACUCAAAAAGGAAAUGCCUGAUGGGGUGGCUGGAAUUGAACAUGCAGUCGGUGAGCUGUGACCUGUUGGUAAAUUAUAAUUCCAACAUUGUAAAAGUCAUGGGUUCAAUUCUCAAACACACCAUCUAAAAUUUCAGCUUGAGGUGGAUUGUCCUUACCCUCACUAGAAAGAGAUUCAUGGGCAUUCCCUGGCGUAAAGAAGCUAAAAAUAUAGCAAAAUGUCCACCCCACAUAAUCCAUGGUGGCCGAAAUAAGAAUGAAAUCCAUCUAAGUAACCUUGAUGCCAUGACGGUUGGAGACGAACCAGAUAGAAUGAUUAAGCGACAUUGCAUCAUAUGUGUAUGUUUCCCUAUCACCACCUGGAGUUGGCUGAAAUGUUUGUUAUAUCUUAUCCUCAGUGUUAUGGUUAACAAUCGUAUCACGUGGCAGAUAUCAUUAGUUAAGAGUAAGUGUUCAACAACGGGAUGCAUUUCUAUCACGAAUGACAUAUUAUAAUGCCCUUAUAAUGAGUAAACGAUCAUAUUUAGAGUUGUGAAAUCUACACACAUC